CCCACCCUAUCCUACCCCAAAUUUUCGUGCAUAGCCUCCCCAAAAGCAAGAGUGGCUACAAACUUCUCCCAUUCCAUCCAUUUUCACUCCAAGAAAGUGCUAAGACAAGAAAGUGCUCUCACUCUCUUCUUCCCUCUCCAUUUUCGUCCCUCCACAUCUCCCCCACUCCCAAGACUCUUCUCCCACCAUUAUCACACUCCAUAGAAGCCCUUGAAGCCCCAAGAGGAGUAUCAAAGCAAGGGAGAGCAUGGGAAAACUAGGGCGUAAAGUUAGAGUGAAGGUUGUGCUUCGAGGGAAUUGGUUCACAGGACGGUACCAUCGCUUAAGAUCACCUCUCUUCCACACCGAGGAUCAGGUUGAGCAGUGGCUGAUGGAGAUGAAGUGAAGAGCGGAGCUUUUGUCAUAGGUUAAAUGAAUGAACUCUUGGAUACAUGUCUUCAUACAUGUAAUCAGAUUAUGUUAUUCCGCUGCGUACUCUUAGGUUUUAUGUUCUUGCAGUUAAGCCAGUUUUAUCUAAACCUACAAGUCUGUUCGAGUCUUGUGACUAAACAUCAGGUGUAUUAUAAAUUUUCCCUUCUUUAAACAAAUUUUAGUUCGAUCCUCUAUUAUUUGUUCACCCCCUUUUUUGUCGCCGUCGAUAACUGUGUCCUUAGUUACGUUUUCCUGGCUUAUUUAUCCUUAAUUAAGUCCGGUCGUGACAGAAACUCCCUUUCUAUUGCCGUCGAUAACUGUGUCCCUUCGUCGCGGUUUCCCGGCUUAGUUAUCCUCAAUUAAGUCGAGUAGCGUCCGUGACAGAGUGGUAUCAGAGCAGUUCGUUUGCUCUGAAUC